AUGAAGUAUAGAUCUCCGACAAGAUUUUUGAAAGCGGCUGUAACCACGGUUGUCGAAUUUUGUUCAAAUUUCACAAGGUCAUGGUGUAGAGAUGAAGCUUUUUUUUUACUGCCAGUGACAAUGUUAUGGUUUCAUGAUGAUGAGUUUCAUUUGUAUGGAGCUUUUUUAGGUCGUGAAUUGUAUUGCCAAAGCUUGCAUAUAAGGUUUUGA